UUGAAAUUAGCGUGGAAGGCAAGAUUCAAAGUAGAAGAAAUUUUUGCUAAGUGCAUUAUAAAAACACCAACAAGGAAAUAUAUAAUAAUUGUAAUUGUAAUGCUGGAGGACCAUUAACAAACUGUGCCAUGGUUUGCUUUCUAUAAUGAUGUGCUGCUUAUCGGUGUGCUGGAGUGGGAGUAUAACAUAGCACCUGUGAGACUCAGUCCUGGAACGCGAGCCCAUUGUGGCAGAAGGCAUACAAACAGAAUAGAAAAUGUCCCUGCCCAUGAACUUCUAAUGAGAGGCUACCAUAUUAUUUCAACGUUGAUGCACAAUAUUAUGGUCCUGAUUCUGAAAGAUUCUGCGCACUUUCUGAGAUGGGUUCCAUGCCUUCAGCUCCCAUUGGCUGUGAUGAGAAUCAAAGGUGGUCAGCCUGGUGCACAUUAGUCACAAGUGACAUGGACAGCUGCUGUGCAUGACAUGCAAGCCCUGGACGUGCAUUGAAGAGAGAUGCCAGGAUGAAGGCAGGGAUGCUUCAGCCUCGUCACAGGGAGUGGAGUGAGAGCAGAUGUUGCUGUGAAAGGAGGUGUCCAGAGUCACCACGAAGAGGCAGGAAAAUCCUCCCCUCUCCCUGCAGCUGCUGCCAAAUUCAGGGCUUUGGAUCUUUGCUUUUCAAAUAAAAGUGUUGUGGCUGUGAAUCUAAGGAAGGGUUAACUUGGCUCUUGUCAAUUACAUCUCUCCUGCAGCCAUGUCUUCUCUCGUCUGUGUGGCAGACGGCUCGAGCCCCUGUAUCUCCUUUCCAGUGCCUCAUGAUGCAAACUGUCAGGUAUACCUCUGGGAGGUGGGGAUCAGAGCAGCACCCUGAGAGGAUUGAGGCUGAACUUGUAGAAUGCCUAUUAAAAACAUUAACCACCACUCUUCUAUUCAUUUUUCUCCUCUAUAAUGUUAAUUUCUUCUGGACAGUAAAUAAGUCAAUUUAUGGCAAAAAGUUAAGGCAACACAUGAAGGGUGAUGAGAGAUGCAUAGGGUCUUCUUGUGAGACAUGAUAUUUAAAAUAGGAGCUGUUGCCUUGCACUAAUACCCUGGUUUGUUUGCACUUUUAAAAUCCUACUGCCAACAGGGCCUACUGGGAUUUGAUUUAAUCUUUGCAGAAAAUGUGGGGAUGUAUUUACUAUAAAAAUGUAAUAAAUAAAAAACAGAAAAUGAGGUUGUCUACUGUACUAGUUUUAUCUUCAUACUGUUUUCUUUAAGGAGCUAGAAGGGUAUAGUAUAAUGAAUAGUAUAGAAUAUGGGGGAACAAACAUCUAAUAAGUCAAUUAUCCUGACCUUAGUCCAAACAGAAAUGUAAGAAUAGUGAAAACUCUCUUGUUUUUUAUAUGCAUUUGCAACAGAUUUUAUGUAGACUGUAGUUAUGACUGAGAAAAAAUGCCCCCAAAGAUUACAUGAAAAUUGGAAACUAUGUCCUUGGAUAUACGUAUAUAUAAAAUGAGGUGCAGCAUUUUAAGGAUCUGUCUAGGAGCUGUACUUUAAAAUGUUAUGUUUAUUCUUUCUAUUUGUUUGUAGUUGUCCAGAAAGAUAAUAUGCUUUUGAAAUAGAUGUCAGAUGAUGUCAUCUGACAUCAACUUCACUGGGCUAACCACAUCAUCCAGAUAUCUGACUCCAAACUUCCAAAGCAAGUUUUAUUCUCCCAGCUCAGUCGCAACAUACGCUUAAGAGGAGGGUAGAGAAAGUGUUUCAAGGAUGUCCUCAAGGCCAACUUGAAAAAAAAGUAAUAUCAACAUCAACUAAUGGAGACUAUCACCCAGGACCCCUGCAAAUGGAGGAAGAGUUUGCUGCAAAGGUCUCAGCACUUUGAAAUGUUAUGAUGACAGCAAGAGAUGGAAAAAUAGGAGCAGCAGAAGCAGCAUGUCUCAGAUUAAAUGAAGAAUCCAGAACCACCUACCCUACACAGAAACACAUGUCUGAGUUGCAGCAGAGUCUGUUG